rnacentral:rRNA from 1 species
UACGGGGGGGGCAAGCGUUGUUCGGAAUUACUGGGCGUAAAGGGUGCGUAGGCGGCUUUCUAAGUUGGAUGUGAAAACUCUGGGCUCAACCCAGAGCCUGCAUCCAAAACUGGAGAGCUUGGGUUCUGGAGGGGAAAGCGGAAUAUGUCAUGUAGCGGUGAAAUGCUUAGAUAUGACAUAGAACACCAAUUGCGAAGGCAGCUUGCUACAGGGAUAUUGACACUGAGGCACGAAAGCGUGGGGAUCAAACAGG